rnacentral:rRNA from 1 species
UACGGAGGGUGCAAGCGUUAAUCGGAAUUACUGGGCGUAAAGCGUGCGCAGGCGGUGAUGUAAGACCGAUGUGAAAUCCCCGGGCUUAACCUGGGAACUGCAUUGGUGACUGCAUCGCUCGAGUAUGGCAGAGGGGGGUAGAAUUCCACGUGUAGCAGUGAAAUGCGUAGAGAUGUGGAGGAAUACCGAUGGCGAAGGCAGCCCCCUGGGUCAAUACUGACGCUCAUGCACGAAAGCGUGGGGAGCAAACAGG